AACGCACAUUGCGCCCUUUGGUAUUCCGAAGGGCAUGCCUGUUCGAGCGUCAUGAUAAAAUCUCAAGCCUUGCUUGGUAUUGGGUUUUCGUCUCCCUUGUAUUUUUGUACAUGUAGAGGCGUGCCUGAAAAUCAAUGGCGGUGCCUCAAUAGACUCAAGCGUAGCAGACUGACUGACGCUUUGGAGAAACUGUUGUAGGUUCUGCAUAUAAAAUAACAAGUGUUGACCUCGGAUCAGGUAGGGAUACCCGCUGAACUUAA
rnacentral:misc_RNA from 1 species